GUUGCAUCUCUCCUUCUUCUCUACUACCAGCAGUAGUAGUUAGGGUUCAUUAUCCUCUUUCUCUCUCUCUCUCCACACUUCCUUUAAUACAGUUACUCAGAUUUAUACCACUGCCUCUUGCUCCAUCCAAUCAUCGAUGCGCUUAUGCAUCGUCACUUGACUUGAUUUGAAUUCGAGUCUCUGUUAGUGCCAUUGCCGAUUUCUCAAUUUGAAUUUAAUUUUCUGCAACGAAAAUGGUGGUUUCUGGACCGUUAACACCUGGACAGUGAGGCUGAUCAUGGACAACAGCUUGAUCCGAUGAAGUUUAGGUGAAGUGGUGGUGGUGGUGGUGGCAGGUGGAUUAUGCUGGUGAUGGGGGUAGUUGCUGGUGGUAGGAUAAUUAGAGAGAGAGAGAAGUAGUAGAGGGGUUAUUCAUGGUGUUUGUAUUAUUUAGUAAAAAAAAUUGAGAAAAAAAGCAAGAAAAGAAUUUAGGGGCUCAGGUUGAUGUUUCACUCAUACCACAGGGACUCAAAGUGUUAUGAAUAUAUGCAAAAAGACGGUCUUACCCCUGGGUCAAAUAGUCAAACAAACGGCAGUGUGACAGAAGGACUCAAACUGUUAUGAAUUUAUAAGGUCAGGGGCUCAAAAAACCAAAAUUUGCAUUUAGGGGCUCAGGUUGAUGUUUGGCACAUACCACAGGGACGCAAAUUGCAUUUUUCUCUUUUUUUUUUUUUUAUUAUAAGUUAGAUUUCAACAAUUAGAAAGGGCAUUCGAUACCCUUGUGGAAAUUGAUAGCAUUAAUCUCUCUUUAAUACAACUGCUAUAUUCAGAAAGAUAUUUU
rnacentral:lncRNA from 1 species